AAGAAGAGGAAGCAGCUCCUGCCUUCUGAUGGAAACACAGGCCCAAAGUGCAGCAAGUAGUACCAUAUGGAUAAUGCUUAGAGCCAACGUGAAUUAACUACUGGAAAAGUUCUCAACUAAGGCUGCUAUGUCAUUUAUAAGAAGAUUUAUGACUGCUCAGGCCUCAGCAUCUACCUCUUAAUAGAAAUGGGAAUCCAGGUGCAGAAAGAAUCCUACAACAGUUGCUCCUCUUUGAGGAAUAAAGAAGCCUCACUUACUCAGCUGACAAGGUGCUAUGGCUGACAUGUUCACCGCCUGCAUUUGGCUGGACCACAGGAGUGUGGAGCUGUUUGGAUGAUACUUCCAUCUCCUACACUGUACUGUCUAAGAGAAGAAAUACCAGAGAGAGGGAUCAGUUCCCAUUCCCAGACUUCUACUCUUACCUCUGUCUGUAUCUGAAGACAUCCCGUCCAGAUCGUGACAUGUCAUGGCACACAUCAGCCAAAGCAGCAGCUGCUCCCUGGGCCACAGCAGUGGCACAAUGUGGUUGGUGACUCUGUACAGGGACUCUGGAGUCCUGUCCUUGGCUCACCAUCCUGCUAGAGCCGGGUUUGAAAUGAGCUGCCAAGGCAAGGACCAGCCUCAUGAUGGACUUCAGGUUUCCUUCCACAAUAUCUGAAGGACCAAACAGACCAAAAGGUCCUGAGAGGGAAGCAGAGGCUGAAGACUUGCAUUAAAAAGUGUCAGUGACACAGGCAAGAAAAGCAGUCGAGGUCUUGGUCUACACAAAGCCAUGUUCAAAAAGGGAGACAGAAGGUUUAAAGGCAAUAACCAUGAAGUACAAAAACAUGUUUGGAUAAGAGAAGUACAGGGGUCUUUGGGAGCUCAGAGUAGAGGCAUCUUAGAGAUGCAGGGAUAUAUUCUUAAAGGAAGUGAGUCCUCAGUUGAGACUUGAUUGAUGAAUAGUGGUUGGUGAGAUAAGAGGAGAAAAGGGAAAAGAGUAAUCUGGGAAGAAGGAAGAGUAGGUUUAAAGGGCCUGCAAGUGAAAGAGCUAUACUACCUGACAUAGGAGCCACGAGGCACACGUUGCUACUGAGCACUUGAAAUGUCACUACUCUGAAUUGAAAUGUGCUCUACGUAUAGUACUUACUUAACACAUACAAACAAAAAGAAUGACAAAUAUCUCAUUAGACUUAGUACAAAAAUAGAAUGCAAAAUAUCUCAGUAAUUUUUGUAUUGAUUUCAGGGUGACAUGGUAGUAUUUUGGAUAUAUUGAGUUAGACAAAAUAUAAUAAUCUCACCUACUUCUUUUUUAUAAUAUGACUAUUAGAAACUUUUAAGUUACCAGUGUAAUUCAUGUUAUAUUUCUGUGGCUCAGCAUUGUGGUGAAGGAACUGAGAGAAGUUCAGCAUGGCCAGAGUACUGGGAUCCAGAAGGAGAAGGGAAAGAUGAGGCAGUGGUGGAGGAAUAGAGGUUGGCCAUACAGGGUAAGCCAUAGGAAAGACUUUGGAUUUUAUUCUAAGAGCCUUCAAGGCAGAGGAGUAGCAUAGGCAUAAGCAUUCUUAGAUCCUUCUGGCUGCAGUGUGGAAAGCAGAAAGGGAGAGGGACAAAAAUCAAUGCAGCAGGACUAAUUAAGAAACUGUUGUGCUUCUCCGUGUAAAAUACAAUGAUGCCCUGAAUGGCAGGGUUCCCUUAAAAUAGCGACUUUACUGGGCCAGAUCCCCAAGCCCACUCCACAUGGGGACCAGGAUCAAAGAUAUGGCUUUCUAAAUUCUGCCCUAGAAAAAAAGAGGCAAAAAAUGAUGUGAUAGAACUGGUGAAAAUUAACUAAAGGGAAAGGGUAAAAUUCUAUUUAUUUAGCCUCUUAGCCUUUUAAAUACACAAAGCUUAGGAAAGGAUUAUUUGAUACUUCCUCUGAUUGCUCUCAAUGGUUCAGCAUUUGCCCACCUGAAUGACCCCUACACAAAGAAUAUCAAUAAUCCAACAUGAAAGGAGGGCUCCCUUCUGACCCCAUUCUCACAAAACCCACAGGCAAUAAGACCCAGAAACUAAAGCUACAACAGAACCAGAUCCAGUCAAUUCUAAAGAAACAGCAGAGGGUUAGGGAGCCUCUGUUUUCUAAGGAUGCCUACAUUGCUCCUUCUUUGCAGCCUGGCCAAACCCACCUGGGUCAUGUCACUACAGAAGAGGGCAUAUACAGAGGCCACAGAGCCCCUUUCGUCUUACCUAGAAUGUACUGAUAUAAAAAAUGCUAUAAAAUAUUUUCCUUCUAGAAAAGUAUGUAGAAAAAGCAUAUAUUAUGAUGAUGUGAAAUAAUGCUUGGUCAUAAAUUCCAAGGAACUUGAAAAACAUUAUUUUCAUUUUUGAAAACUUAAAUGAGACAUUCUAAAAUUAAUAGCAUAAUUUUGUUAUUUAUUUUCUUACCAUUAAUUUUCCCACAUACACCCAAACAGAUCUGUAUCCACCUAAAAAGAACAGAGAACUUCUAUCUCCACCCAUGUUUCCAUAGCACUCAGAUUCUGAUAAUCACUCCAUCCCAAGAGGAUACCUUUCUUUAUGGAAAAAUGAUAUGAGGCCCUUCUACAACCUCUGGCUAGCUGAGAAUGUGGCUCAGUGGAAGAGCACUUGCCUGGCAUGUAUAAGAUUCUUAUCCCCAGCACCAGGAAAAAUAAAAAUAAAAAAGAACCUGUAAAUUAUGGCAUUUGCAGGCAAAUGGAUGAAA